rnacentral:rRNA from 1 species
CCUACGGGAGGCAGCAGUGAGGAAUAUUGGUCAAUGGUCGGGAGACUGAACCAGCCAAGCCGCGUGCGGGAGGAAGGUACAGAGUAUCGUAAACCUCUUUUGUCAGGGAACAAAGGCGGGGACGUGUCCCCGGCUGAGUGUACCUGAAGAACAAGCAUCGGCUAACUCCGUGCCAGCAGCCGCGGUAAUACGGAGGAUGCGAGCGUUAUCCGGAUUUAUUGGGUUUAAAGGGUGCGCAGGCGGUCUGUUAAGUCAGCGGUCAAAGCCCGGGGCUCAACCCCGGCCCGCCGUUGAAACUGGCAGUCUCGAGUUGGAGAGAAGUAUGCGGAAUGCGCGGUGUAGCGGUGAAAUGCAUAGAUAGCGCGCAGAACUCCGAUUGCGAAGGCAGCAUGCCGGCUCCACACUGACGCUGAGGCACGAAAGCGUGGGUAUCGAACAGGAUUAGAUACCCGUGUAGUC